UACGGAGGGUGCGAGCGUUGUCCGGAAUCACUGGGCGUAAAGGGCGCGUAGGCGGCCAACUAAGUUACGACGUGAAAUCCCUCGGCUUAACCGGGGAACUGCGUCUGAUACUGGAUGGCUUGAGUUUGGGAGAGGGACGCGGAAUUCCAGGUGUAGCGGUGAAAUGCGUAGAUAUCAGGAGGAACACCGGUGGCGAAGGCGGCUCUCUGGACCACAACUGACGCUGAGGCGCGAAAGCUAGGGGAGCAAACAGG
rnacentral:rRNA from 1 species